rnacentral:rRNA from 1 species
UACGGAGGAUCCAAGCGUUAUCCGGAAUCAUUGGGUUUAAAGGGUCCGUAGGCGGUUUAAUAAGUCAGUGGUGAAAGCCCAUCGCUCAACGGUGGAACGGCCAUUGAUACUGUUAAACUUGAAUUAUUAGGAAGUAACUAGAAUAUGUAGUGUAGCGGUGAAAUGCUUAGAGAUUACAUGGAAUACCAAUUGCGAAGGCAGGUUACUACUAAUGGAUUGACGCUGAUGGACGAAAGUGUGGGUAGCGAACAGG